AAAAUGAUUGGUCAGGUGAUGAUUUAAAGCCAGGAUGCAGCCAGCAGGUCUAAAGCAAUGGAUUGCAAAAGGGUGUGAAGGAGCUGAGUGAGCAGCAAGCAAACAUUCUGUAAUACACUGGAUGAUGAUGUGGAAAAUGGUUGGAUUUGAUUGGCUGUUCUACUGGCCUUGCGAUGGACCAGUAUUCAAUUCAUGGGAUGAGCAGCUCCACAAUCUCAAUCCAGAUUUCCACCCUAGACGUCUGGAGACACUUAUUAGGAUAAAAGCCUUUUCUGAUGAUGGGUGGAAUCCCACUGCUUAAAAGAGAUGAAGUGAUGCAGCUCUCACUGACAACACUGGUGGCUCACACAUCAAAGUUCAAAGGGUGUUGGGGCUCUGUUGAGCAAUGGGCUGAGAAUACCCUGGUUGACAGCCUACGCAAACAAAGUGACAUGGUUGGGCCAUCACAGUGAGCCUAGGAUAAUGUCCAGACCUGAACCGGUUGAUGUAUCAAUAUAUAGACUGUAUACCUCUACUCGCUGAGACACUCAAGAAUUCCUUUCUUUUAAUCAUUUUUUAUAAAUUAUGUACAUACAACUUUAUCUGAUUUUGAAUGAGCCUCUCUUCAAGAUACAAUCCCCUGGAGUUAACACUGAUUAGAACAAAGCACACAUAUGCUAAAGUACAUCUCCAUUUCUGCAGAAAUCAUAUCUUUGAAAUAUAAAUCAGUGUCUUUUCUUCUUUAAUAAUAAUGCCUUAGCCUUGGGAAUAACCUGCUUUAACUCGCAGGGCUGCAGAGACAGCAGACCCAUUUACAGCUGUAAAGAAAUGAAGUGUGUAGAGAGACGAAGCAUCCACAGUGUUGCAGCCCUGCAGGCUGUGUUCCGUGUCGACAACUCCUUGUACAUUUGAGUUCCUGUUGUGUACUGUAUCUGACUUGUGCAGGCAUGCUUAGUCUGUAUUUUUAAUUGGUGGAGGUUGUGUUCCAGAGUGUAUGUCACCUUAACAAUGUUUUCAAGCUUGCUUCAUUAGAGUGCUGAUUGUAAGACAGGAAAAUAAUAACAUCAUGUAUAUUAAUUCUGAGCCUAAGGACUUCAUCUCACAUUCACAAAAGAAAUAUUGUAAAAGGA